AUUGAACGCUGGCGGCAGGCCUAACACAUGCAAGUCGAGCGGAUGAAGGGAGCUUGCUCCUGGAUUCAGCGGCGGACGGGUGAGUAAUGCCUAGGAAUCUGCCUGGUAGUGGGGGAUAACGUCCGGAAACGGGCGCUAAUACCGCAUACGUCCUGAGGGAGAAAGUGGGGGAUCUUCGGACCUCACGCUAUCAGAUGAGCCUAGGUCGGAUUAGCUAGUUGGUGGGGUAAAGGCCUACCAAGGCGAGGAUCCGUAACUGGUCUGAGAGGAUGAUCAGUCACACUGGAACUGAGAUACGGUCCAGACUCCUACGGGAGGCAGCAGUGGGGAAUAUUGGACAAUGGGCGAAAGCCUGAUCCAGCCAUGCCGCGUGUGUGAAGAAGGUCUUCGGAUUGUAAAGCACUUUAAGUUGGGAGGAAGGGCAGUAAGUUAAUACCUUGCUGUUUUGACGUUACCAACAGAAUAAGCACCGGCUAACUUCGUG
rnacentral:rRNA from 1 species